AUUGAACGCUGGCGGCAGGCCUAACACAUGCAAGUCGAGCGAGCGGCGGACGGGUGAGUAAUGUCUGGGAAACUGCCUGAUGGAGGGGGAUAACUACUGGAAACGGUAGCUAAUACCGCAUACCAUCAGAUGUGCCCAUAUGGGAUUAGCGAGUGGGUGGGGUAACGGCUCACCUAGGCGACGCUCCCUAGCUGGUCUGAGAGGAUGACCUGCCACACUGUGACUGAGACACGGUCCAGACUCCUACGUGAGGCAGCAGUGGGGAAUAUUGCGCAAUGGGCGCAAGCCUGAUGCAGCCAGGCCGCGUGUGUGAAGAAGGCCUUCGGGUUGUAAAGUACUUUCAGCGGGGAGGCGUUACCCGCAGAAGAAGCACCGGCUAACUCCGUGCCAGCAGCCGCGGUAAUUC
rnacentral:rRNA from 1 species